rnacentral:lncRNA from 1 species
AUGCCUGGGAAACUUAACCAAGGAUCCAGACAUGACUUUGUUCAACAUUGUACAGGUGACAAUGGCUGCUGCCCAGCUUUCCUUGCUCUGAAUGCCAGCUGCAUUGUUCCCCAAGCUGUCCUCCCUGCAAAGAUACGGCAUCUAAGAAGUACCUCUGACUUCUUUGCAAGGCAAACAAACCUGAGAUGGUUACCUCUCAUGAGGGUUGCUAAAUUUGAUCCUGUAGCUGGCAGGUAAUAUGGCUGCCUACAUUUUUCUCCUGAGAAGCAAGUCUUUGCUGUGCCCAGGCAGUGGCCUGGGAGAAGAACCUCUUCACGUGGCCCUUCUUACCAUCAUCUCAGCCCUGCACUGUCAGAACAAGCUGAUCCAAAUGCUUACUUUCCUGCAUCUGGUGUUUACUUGCAUUGAAGGGACACACUUGGAUCUAAAUCCACUUCUAGUUUUCAUUCUUCUCCCUUAGAAUAUUUUGAGUCUGUCCUCUUGGCACCCUCUUUUGAGGGUGACUGACAAGUCUGGAAGGAAGGAGAUGAGUGGACUUGGGUAUAAGAUUGACCAGCCACUAGGAUCUCUGUCUCUGACAUGCAAAUAUUUCACUGUUCCUGAUUUAAGUCUAAAAAGAUGAAUUUUUAGUCAUGGUUUAGAGGGUAAGAAUAGAGUACAGCCCCGAGAAAAUGUAAUGCAACAUAACCAACGUGCCAAAAAGCCAGAAGAAAGUGUAAUUUAUGCCAAGUUGUCUACCUUGAUGGAUAAGACCAGCAGAAUAUAUUAACAAAUGGUACUUCUACAAGUUCCUGGUGCCAUCUUCUAUAAUUUAAUGUAUAAUUAUGCCUUUAGUAUUGAAUUCUAAAGGAUGGUUUAAAAAACUGAAGUAGAUACCUCAGAAUUAGUUAUUUCUAUUGAUCCCAGUUGUGUUUCAUGGAGUCCUGUUGAUUUUUUUUUUCCUUCCUUUCUUGUUUUCAUAAAGGAACAUUUCAGUCUGGUUUACAGACUUCUUAAGCAGGAAGGCUCAUAGUGUCAUCAGCCACACUAACCCAACUGCUGCAAUAUGAAUUUCUCAUAUCGGGCAGAAAUAAGGCAGGAUACUUACUGUGUGAGGACUCUUAACACGUGAAGGUACAAAAUUCUGGUUUGCAUUUUCAAAUGAAAAUUCAGUUUCUGUUUUUGCUAUGAUCACAGAGCAGUCAGCUUUCUUGCAGGACUCAGACCUGAUAUUGAAUCAGCCCAAGUUCUUUUAGUU